rnacentral:lncRNA from 1 species
UAUAAGGCUUGUUUAGAAUGCAAGGCUUCCUCAAUUCUCCACCCUUCCCCUCUUGACAUCUUGCUCUUCUUCCCUUCAUCUAUUGUGUUAGUCAGGUGCAUGCUGGUCUUCCCUCUAUCAAACUACAGGACUUUCAUAGUUUUGAACAAGUCAGAACCUGAAAGAAUUUGCUUCCAGAACAGGACAUUGACAGGAAAAUUAAGCAUGAUCAUGCCGAGUAAAAUAGGAAUAAGAAUUGGACCUACCUCAAGAUCUGUUGAGAAGAUUAUGAGAGAGCUGAUGGAUCUAAAAGAUUGGCGCUUGAUAGAAUUGGGAUCAUUUGUUUUGACUAGAACAAUCUCUUGCAGCUUGGAUGGAGAAACUUUACAGAGGUUUCAGCCAAACACUCAUGAAUUCUUUAAUGUGUGAAAUAAAGAGCUAAAAUAAUAUCUAAGUUUCCUCUUUGCCUGACGCCAUCCAUGCAAAAUGUGACUUGCUUCUUCAGCAGCAGCAUGAAAACAAACUAAUACACCACUAUUCCUAGUUUGUACAACGAAAGGCUAAAAAUUUGGGAGAUGCAGGAUGACUGAAGCCCGAUUCUGGGGGUUGUUACAGCACAGUUACAGGGCCUUCCUCACACCCAUGUCUUCAGAUACCCAAGGCCUUUAAUACCCAAGUCCUUCCAGGAUUCUGCACAUCUCAUUAGCUUCAUAUUCCCUCUAUUUGAAAAGUUCAUAUGGACCCAGCUCUGUCAUCAUCACAUGUUCUAUAUCCCCAAACCUUGUGACAUCUGCAAAGAAGUACAGAAGACCUCAAGAGAAGAUAAGCUAGAAUUUAUUUAUUUUUAUACCUUUUAUUCAGUUUUUAUUAAAG